UACGAAGGGGGCUAGCGUUGCUCGGAAUCACUGGGCGUAAAGCGCACGUAGGCGGAUCUUUAAGUCAGGAGUGAAAUCCUGGAGCUCAACUCCAGAACUGCCUUUGAUACUGGGGAUCUCGAGUCCGGAAGAGGUGAGUGGAACUCCGAGUGUAGAGGUGAAAUUCGUAGAUAUUCGGAAGAACACCAGUGGCGAAGGCGGCUCACUGGUCCGGUACUGACGCUGAGGUGCGAAAGCGUGGGGAGCAAACAGG
rnacentral:rRNA from 1 species